UUCACAUUAGGCCAAGUUUCAUUGCCAAAAAAAUAAUUUUUUCCAUUGCCAAUCCAUCACAAAAAAAAAUAAUUUUUUCUGCUCCUCUCUCUCUCUCUCUCUCUCUCUGGCGAUUCAAGAACACGAUUUCACAAGAUCUAUGAAGUUUGAACAGAUCGAUGAAGAUUCGGACCUCCCAGAUUCGAUUUCCAGCUUUUAUUGGCGUUUUGCAACAUUCGUCAAAGGUCAUGGUUUAAAGACUAGGUAACGGUUUGAGAAGAGUUCAAGAUCGAGCUAUUGUUUUGUAGUAUGAAGGGGAGAAAGUGAGGAGAAAGUUGUGGUUGUCAAAGGCGAAGUAGAAGAAUAUAAAGAGAAUGUGAGGGCGGUUGUCAAAGGAGGUGGUAUAGUGUUUUGUAGAAAUUAGGGUUUGUAUUUUCGUGAUUUUUGCUAAUUAUGUUGAUUUUGAGAUGGUUGCUGAUACACAUUGAUAGUUAGUGUGUAUUGUUGAUUCCAGUUACCUUGAAAUUAUGUUUUGUAGCUGCUGGUUUUGGUUUUCAGUUAGAAGCGGUUGAUUAGUAUAGACAUGUUGAGAAGAUACUAUCUGGAGAUGGAUCUGGAAGGUUGCAGGAUCGAGUGAAGGAAACGCUAAAGGAGUUUAUGUGGGCUACACAGAUGAUACUUUUGUGCCCGGCCAAGAAUUUCAGGUGCUCCUACUAACAACAAAGUCACUGCGGUCCUUGAAAAGGCAAGCUCAACCCGCCAGUCGUGGCAGAGAAGAUAGGUUUUAUAAUCCGGAAAAAGCGAGAAGAAACCAUCAAAAUCAGGAUCAACUCCGAUGAGCACAAAGUGAUGCCACUCCAAACCAAAAUCUAUGACGUUGCCAGGCCCUGGGGAGGCUGAGAACCGAGUUGUGAAGUCAUUUAAAGAGGCAUUAGCAAAACACAAAUUGGAUCGACGCACUUUAGGUCUUUCAAAAUGUCUGAAGGAGAAAGAAUUGGUGGCACUUGCGGCCAACCAGGACCUUUCUUUUGUGUAUAAUUUAAAACCCAAGCACCACCAAAGGAGACUAUGAAUUGUAUAGGUAACUAGUUAAUUGCCCUGCCCGCGUUGCGAGGCGUUAAAUCGAAUAUUUCUUAGUUUCAUAACAUGUACACAUGUAUUUUAGUUACUUGUAUAUACUAUUUA
rnacentral:lncRNA from 1 species